rnacentral:rRNA from 1 species
GAUGAACGCUGGCGGCGUGCCUAAUACAUGCAAGUCGAGCGAACAGAUAAGGAGCUUGCUCCUUUGACGUUAGCGGCGGACGGGUGAGUAACACGUGGGUAACCUACCUAUAAGACUGGGAUAACUUCGGGAAACCGGAGCUAAUACCGGAUAAUAUUUCGAACCGCAUGGUUCGAUAGUGAAAGAUGGUCUUGCUAUCACUUAUAGAUGGACCCGCGCCGUAUUAGCUAGUUGGUAAGGUAACGGCUUACCAAGGCGACGAUACGUAGCCGACCUGAGAGGGUGAUCGGCCACACUGGAACUGAGACACGGUCCAGACUCCUACGGGAGGCAGCAGUAGGGAAUCUUCCGCAAUGGGCGAAAGCCUGACGGAGCAACGCCGCGUGAGUGAUGAAGGUCUUCGGAUCGCAAAACUCUGUUAUUAGGGAAGAACAUACGUGUAAGUAACUGUGCACGUCUUGACGGUACCUAAUCAGAAAGCCACGGCUAACUACGUG